GCCGAUGUAGCUCAGUGGUAGAGCAGCUGUUUUGUAAACAGCAGGUCGUCGGUUCGAACCCGACCGUCGGCUCCA
rnacentral:tRNA from 3 species